rnacentral:ribozyme from 13 species
UGAAGGCCAGAACACUCUGACUCAGCAAAUGUUGCAACGUAUCUAACCGAUAGAAGCACAUAAAAAAGUAAAACGGAGAUCAGGAAAUAAAGAUUACUAUCUGUUUUGU